UAACAAAAGCAGAAUAAUUUUGACCUUAAUUUUCUAAUGCAAGUCAUUUGGGCCAAGGUUAGAUUUCUGUCGCAGGAUGAGAGUCAGCAUUAAAUACACAACUAUUUGCAGAUAGGGCGCAGAGGCAAAUUCUGUUCAUCCAUUCAAGAUCGCCACAACCUAGAGGACCAAAUGCUGCUGGCCAUCAGCAGUAUUGUGACAAAUGCUAUUGUUCCUGAAUUAAUUUUCAGGAUUUUCUUCUUGUUUCUGUUUUUUUUUCUUUUUUUUUGUCAUUAUUUGGAAAAUCAAACAAACAACCCUAUGUGAUCUGGAAGGCUGCAUUCAAGAUUUGUCUUCUUUGGAAGCCAAGAGCAAGUAGAGAUAAACACACUGAAGAGCUGCCCUAAGUUUGUGUUGCAUGUCUUGCAUUUCCUUAAAAACUGAAGUCCUGAAAAGACAUCCUGUGUAAUUUCAUUUUCACAGGCUCAAAAUGGAGUUGAAAUCAUACGUCAUUGAGGGUCUUGUGGUUUCUUGACUCCUUGAGAGACUUCAAGCAAGUCAGCUAGCAGUGAUACGUUUCUUAAACUGGGCACAAAUCUUUUGAAUCCGACUUAUCUGAAACCUCCCGUUGCCAAUGUCAUUUGUCACGAGCCUGUCUCUUGGAGAGCUGUAGGGUGAUGCCCUCUACACCGAACUUCACACGGCUGUUUCAGAUGUUCCCCAGUUCCAUGCAGUCCUUUUGCUGGCUAACCACCAGGCACGGCAACACAUUGUUCAGGGUUGAUUCUGAAUCUGUUUUUUUUCCUUCUACUACUUGCAUCGAGUCCCGAAAGUUCUUCGAUGGGACAGCGAAGAAUUAAUGCCAAAGUUGAACGAGUUACAGCCGCUACUACCUAAUUAAAAUGAUUUUGUGCCAGUUGCUUUUGUUGGGCAGGAUCCACACAUAAUAUAAUUUUAAUCCUGUUUAUAUACACUCCGGGGACAGAUUUGAGAUCAGCAUUGCCAUUUAAGUGAGGUUAAUCAAGCAUACUGUAUGCAGCUUUUGUUUCUCGACGGUAUGUGAAAGGUGACUACAGCUGACGGGCUCCUGACUGGCCGCUGGCUGCAAACCCCACCACUUCCUUGUUAACAGAGUGUCUGAUCAUUAACCUAACCCCAGCCCCGAUGACUCCUCCUGCCCGCUCCUUGGAAUUGCGCAGCUGUUGUUAUUCACAGAGGAGCUCAUAGUUAUGAACUGGGUCGUCCUGGCAGCGGGUACGCGGUUGCGCGGAGGCUUUCUCCAUCCUUGUGUCUCUGCAGUUCAGUGACCUCAACACGGGAGGAGAAAUGUGUGUGUCCCAGAAGCCCCACAUGUUGGUCAAGCCAGCUGAGAAGGAGUUGUGCUGCACUGUGCUUGGGAAAUUCCUACAACUGGAGCACACUGUUCCUUUCCUCUCAGUUAAUAACCAAAAUCCGUUGAUGCCACUGGGAUGGAGAUGUGGUCCAUAUUACAAAUACUUGUCAUUCUUCUUCCCCUUUAAAAUUAUGGGACGGUGGACGUGCAUCUGGUCCUGGUUAUGAGUGUUGGCCUCCUGUCUACAGCAGAUACAAGGUGGAGGGAUUGGGGCCAUGUGAGUUAGCAGCCCUGGAGAGCUCAGCAGCCACAGGGUACAGCAUGGACCUAACUCUGAAGACUUGCAUCAAAUAGAGAGCUGCAAAUCUCAUCUUCAUCUGUUAUCAUGGUACUGCAUCAUGCUUUCAGCCAGGCUCUAACACUGUGCACGCAGGUCUGUAGUACAUGGGUGUCUUCCUGAGGACGUGCUUUGGUUUGUACCACCAGUGCUUACCUUGUCAGUUUGCAUAGGAGAUAAGCAGAGCAUCUCUUAAGGCAGGAGUCACUGGAGAACUUGAGUGGCAUGGCUGGCCAAAUUUUGUUCCCCUUAAGAGGCAAAUACCAAAGUCUUUCUACUGCCAAAUGUUGGCAAAGCUCAGCUAGCUCUGUGCGUACUGAUGAAGUGCCCUGUUGAUAUGGGAGAUAGGCAAGAUAGGGACCUGAGCUAAUAAAAAUCUUUUUACGGACCUACCAGAAGCUUUGCUAUCAUUUUAGUGAACUACACAAGAAUAACUCAGUCAGAGAGCUCUCACAUUAAAAACAGAAUGAUAAAAAUCAAAGCAAAAUGUCCUGGCAUGAAUUUAAUACCCUUGACGGUUUUAUUCAAUUUCUCAAGAAGUCUAGUGAGUACACAAAAAAUCAAAGUUAAAGGUACAUCAAAUUUAUUCAAGCCAAUACAAGAUUAAUGAAUUGAGAAGACACAUAGCUUGAAAGUUUCCUUAGGGCCAUCCAGACAAUCUCUGCCCAAAAAUGCCAAAGGGUUCACAAAAGGUGCAGCAGCAAUUGCAGCAGGACUCUGAGUGGAGCAAAAAUUUUUCAUACUAACUUUUGCUUUUCGUAUCUUUCUUGAACGAAAACAUAAAGCCCUGGAAAUGGAUAUUUUUCAUGCUAUAGCAGUGACAAUUUAUGGAUCCAAUAAUUUCUCAGAUGCUACUUGAAAAAUGUUUCUUUAUCCAGAGGUUAACUCCUUUAGGAGUACAAAUCUUUAAAUGUUCUUACUUGCUCUAUUAGUUGGUACAACUAGAUUCACCACAGUUAUAAAUCUCUCAAUUUUCUAGUCUGUAACAGAAUAAUCCCCGAAAUCUCAUAGGUACAAAUGGAAUUGCUAAUUUUCAAUAAAUCUGCAGUAACAGGUAAUAGUGUCAUGGUUCCCAGUUCCAAUCAUUUUUGCAAUAAUGAAUGAGACUAUAGAAGAGUCACUUUUGGCCAUAAAAUCUACUGUCCAGGGCACAUAUUUUAACCCCCAAAGCACUUAACCAAUUUCCCUCCCUUUGUUGUUGUCACUGUUGUACCACAGCAUGUCGUCCUGAUGUAAGAUCAGGGCCAUUUUGGACAUUGAUUUGGACAUUGGACAUUUGGAAAUUGAGAAUAUUUCCAGCCUUACAGUGUUCAAUAUGGGGCUACAAAUUCAGGCUGUUUGCAUGAACCUGUAGAUAGGUGCAGUUCACCUGAAACCUCCCCGGUGCCCAACCCCAAGCCUGAAAUCUGACUUUAAGGUUAGAUGAACACUGCGAAUGUUGAUGACCCUUUUGUGCCGAAGAAAAUUGGUGCUGUCAUCUCUGGAGGCUCUGAAAGCAUCUGCUCAGGUGCCCGCUGCUAAAGGGUGUGCGGGACUACUUCAUUCUAAAAUGCACCAGAGAGGCCAUGAGGUUUUUGGCAUUCCAUCCUGCUUAACCCACUGGCUCUCUUGGGGUGCUACAGGCAGAGGCUAUGUUGACUUUGGGAGCAUCACAUUCUGUAGGCAGAUUGGCCCAAUUCAGCAUGAUUGCAGAGUGUGCAGUCCAAAACUCAUCUUACAAAGACUUGGAUGGUGGAUGUGGUAGUAACUUUAAAUCACUAAACUGCUCACAGUCAUGUAGCUAGCUAAAUACCUUGCUAGUUUAUACAACCAAAUGCAAGCAUACAUCUUCACAGAAACAAGCUGGGAAUGGAUAUAAGGACCUGGAGAGCUGUAGACACUUGUCCAAGAUGUUAAAAAUGGCUCUGAGAGUAGAACCCAUAUCUCUGAAGUCCCAGUUCAGGGAUCUGCCAACACGGGUUUGACUUUCAGUGCCAGCAAAAUAACGCUGAAAAAUAUUAAAUCAGUUAGAAACUUGCCAAACGAAAAAGUUAUAUUAACAAAAAAUGUUUCUUUGAGCUUUAUUGAUUUUCAGCUCUGGGUGGAGGAAACUCUCUAGACAGACAUUUGAACGCAUUAUUGUCUUCUAUUUACUCUGCAGAUAUACCUAGUAUACUUUAUGAGAUGAAUUCAGGAGGAAAAAGGCCAAUUAAAAUCUGAAUCUCAUGCAGUUAAAGAUUAGAAAAACUCCAUAUUUGUUACAUUCAGCUUUAACGAUAACAGCCAAGCCACAAGAGCAUCUAAACCUAGCUCUAAAUCUUACACACCACAUGCUUUCUCUGCACAUGAUGAAUUGGUUUAAGCUUCACAAAGUGCACAAACAACUACCUUUCAGUUAAGACAUCUUUGUGAAUCUUACAGUUGUUUGACAAGGGAUAAAUGGUAGAUUAGGAGCUGGUGUCAUAGAAUUACAGAACAGCUUUGGCUGGAAAGGACCUAAAAGCCCAUGCAGCCCCAAGCCCUGCCAUGGGCUGGUUGCCACCCACUAGAUCAGGCUACAGUUGGCCUUCAGGCUUCAAGCGCUCGCUGCGGGCUCGUGUCAAGCCUUUUAUCCACCAGAACCCCAGUACCAGACAAAAGAGCUCACUAUGUUGGAGAGAUCAAGAUUUUACACUGUUUUCCUUCAAAAUACAUUCGUCUGUUAGAACUGAUACAUGAUAGGUGUACUCAAGAAGAAGUUGGCCAAGAAGCCAAUCACUGUUAGACACGUACCCAACACAGAACGUGGGGGAUGAUGUGGCAGCUGUCCUUCAGCUGUGCCAUCCAAUAUGAACUAUCAUGUCACCCUGCCUCUACAUUUUCACGAGCAAUGAAAAUGUGAACUUUUUGCUUCAUGAAAUGUUCUGUUUAUCUACAUCUGCGCUUUUACCAAAGCUUUCUAAUAUUCUUGAGCUCUUGCCAGGAUGCCCGAGGUAGUCGUUUGAGCUUUCUGAGGUUUUUCUCAAAAUGUUGACUCAUUUUACAUGCAAUAUCCAAAGGAUUAAGUAUCAUCAGUACAGCAGAUACUGAAAUAUAUUUAUAGGGUAACAGACAACAGAAAGGCCAGACCUCAUGUACUCCUAUAGACUUAUGCUGAUUUCACCGUGCUUCAUUUAGCUGUCUAGUAGUUUCAUGGGCAACCACACACCAUCACACAAAAACACUUAGUUAAAAGGCAUUUUAUUUAACAUGCAUUUCUCAGAAAAGGCACUGGAGAUGUGUGAAAUAGAUUUCGUGUUGCACUGGGAGCACAUAUGGGAAACAGCACACAACAUACACGACUGUGGGAACCACAGUGAAAUAUUCACCAAAUGCCAUUAGACACAGAUCUCUUCCCUCUCAAGUGAGCAAAGCCCCACGUCCUCCCCCAUUUAUCUACUGUGACAGAUGUCUGAUGUAUGUCCUUGAGCAAGGAUGAAAAUGAGAUGUCCUUAAGUACUGUUUAGACUUCCACUGAAAUCUUUAUAGGGGGUUAUAGGACUUUUGUACAGGAAUUACAAGAGGAGCAGGAUUUGCAAGGGUGCUGCUGAGACAAUGUGGGCAAAGUACUGGAGGAAAGUGCAGGGAAAGCAGCACAGCAUUGCCAGGUGCAUGGAGGAUGCUUGGUCGGGAGCCUGGAAGGAAUUUGGGAAUGCAGUAGCUCAAUCAGUGCUGCAUUUAACAGGCUCAUUACAACUAGUAAAUAUUUCAGAAAGUGGAGGAAAACAUCUGUCUAGCAUUCCAGUCGCUCACUUUUCAGUACUACAGGCUUUGCUUGAAAUGGUAAUUCAAGUUGGAACAUCAAUGAGCCUUGGGUAAUACUUUCCAGUGGGAACCAGCCAGCCCAGCCUCUGGAAGGAGAAGCUGGCUUCAGUACUUGCACUAAGGGUCUGUUAAGAAACUCUAUCUGAACUUGCUCUCGUUAAACUUUUGCAGUGCACUUGUAUGCUGCUGAAGUAAGCAUGAUAACUGAUCUCUUCUUUAAAACUCCAUGCCAUAUCUGAACUUUCUGCAUAUGUAAUAUAGGCAAUGAGAUUUUUUUUUUCUGUUAUGUUCUUGAAGAAGUAGAGUGUGGCUUGAACAAUUCAGGCAGUUGUGUAACUUGUCCAUUUCUGUUUGCUUCUGAAAGAAAGGACAGAUCUUUGUGGAAAUAAGAAGGAUUCACAUUACUUCUUUUGUGGAAACACGUUAAAAAUGGCACUGAUUAAUAGGCUGGCAAUUGUAAUAGAAGGCUUCCAGGUCCUUCAGAACAUCUUCUAGAAGCUGCUCCUCAGGAUAAUGUCAUCAUUUAAAAAAAGAAGAAAAAAAAAAAGAAACAUACAGAUGUCUUUUCACCUCCUAUCCACCUGUUAAACAAACUUGUCAUUUCUACAGCCAAUUCGGGAAAGGAGUUAUCAGAUCCUUUCCUUGGAGACCUAAGUGUAACCCUGCAGGUCUCUGGGGUCAACCUCAUACCUUCUCAGAAAAGCUCCCUGCACAAUUUUGAUAGUCACGGCAGUCAUUAUCAACCAGCUUGGCAUGGGCCUCUAGGGUUUUCCCAUUGAGCAAGGUCUGAACUGUGCUGCCCAUGCCUUCUCUCACCAAUUAUAAGUUCCGUACAGUUUUUUAAAAGACUGCAAAAACAUAUCAACAUCAUUCCGUUCCUUGUAAUGAGGAAGCAAUUUUACCUUAUUAUAACUGACUAAAUAUGCAUGGGCUGACCCAGUAGGACCCUCAUUCACCCUUAUUCUUUCCCUCUGGAAAUCAUAUUCCAUUUUCAUCGUUUCCAUUUCAAAUUUUUCUUCCUCUCCAUCCUUUCUCUGCUCUCUCUCUUGAUCCCAUUCUUGUUCCAGCUUUAUCUUUUCCAUGCUGAAUUGUCACUCUCCACACUCCUGCUCUCAUUACAACUUCCUUUGUAUUUGGUGCCUGCUCAUUCCCAUUUACAGUUGCCUUCCCUUUUACCUUGUGCCUUUAUAUCAUCAGCUUAGCACCUAUGCACCUAUUUGCUGCUCAGACUCCCCUGCAUAGCUUCAAUUAGUUGACAGGUGUCAUUAAUGCAGUUUCCUGCCUCCACCCUGCUGCUUCAAAACAUUAAGAAGCAGGCUGCUACUGGGAGAAAGCACGGGAGCAGCGGGCUGGGUGUGUGUCCCUGCGUGGCUGUGGUGGAUGGCUGCCUGUAUGCUUCCAGAAGGGAGCUGGUGCUCAGCAAGACUCACCAGCUCUUCCAUCAUACUCUCAGGGUGAGCCUGGGCACCCACUUCUCCAAAAGUAACUCCCACUCAAGCUCCUCUGAGAGCUCCUAGUGUGGAACAGAACCCUUUUCUCGUGUUUGUGAAGAGCUCUGGCUCUGAAAACCCCAGUCUGGGCUGUGAGGAAAUGUGUAACUUAGUGAAAAUCACUUUCCAGCCUUCCUAGUAGCAACCGUUGAGAUUGCUCAGCAGAGCAUGUGGAAACCUGCUUUCUCAGUGACAAACUGCUGCACAUUCUUCAUGCCUAUCAUGCCUGAGGGCUUGGCAUGAGAAUGAGGUAGGUGAUGCAGAAUAAAACAAGGAGGUUGUUAAAUGCCUCAGAAAAACCAUGCCCCGAAAAGCGCUCUAGGCCAUAGUGUCAAAGAUGAGAGACACAUCAGAGCUGUGAAUCCCAGUGACCACUGGAGGUAGCUCCCAGCCAGUCCCAGGUUGGCCUCGGUCAUUCAUCUACAGAAAUGAAAACAGCUCCAAGAGCUGUAUCUGGGAUGAGCUGAGGGUUGAAACAGCGCAGCAUCUGAUUUAUAUAGCAUGAAACAGAAAGGGACAGAUGGUUCCUGAAGCCCAGGAGUGGUCCCGCACCACCAGACAUUCCUGGCUGCUCGGGCCCUGCCCAGUAGGGUGCUGGGUUAAACCCACAGGUUAUGAUGGGCAGUGAAGAACUGACAGAAGUGAGGUUGAGCGAAGCUGCCCAGGUAUUUGUACAACCUGUGGCUUCCUUUCCUAUGCACAGAAGAUUACCUGUUCCCGUUGACCUAAGUCUCUUUUUCAGCAAUUUACACCCUGUACGAAUCCCCAGAGAUGCACAGGUAUCCCUUGUCUGUUGACGUUUCAAAAACAUCGCUCUCCUAUUGACAUUUGAAAAACACGACGUGCAGGCUUGUUUUCAUAUGCAGAAAGACCUCUUGCUAUCUGCGACCUUUCUGCAAAAGGUGAGUAGCACCUUGGCUGUAGGUGCAGGAGAUGGGAAAAUGCAACUGGAGAGGGAAAGCAUUGGACACCUCUGCAACGUGACUCAGCUAACGGCAGUCAGCGCUCCCUCCUGGUGCAGGAGAUGCACCGUGCAAGGGACACAGCACCAUGGCUUCUGCAGGGCUCCUGGUGAGUGACUCUUGUCCUCAGCCUCCAACAGGGCAUGGCACUCUGUGUGCAUCCUCCUUGGAGGAGUUCAGCCGGGGAAAGGAAGAACCUGGAUAUUUCCUUGUAUUGAUCUACAUUUGUGUUCAUACAUGCAGGGAAAUUCUUUCUGUGCAAGCAAGCUGAACUAACAGAGCCAGUGGCGUGAGCGUUUCUUAACAGCUUCUUCUUAUCAUCUGUCUCUUCUUAAGAUGCAUUCUGCUGUGCUACACGUUUAGCUCUGUCUGCUGGAGAACUAGCAAAGGUCAAAUGAAGGAAAACAUCUCUCAGAGAAAUGUUACCGGACAAGGAGGUACCAUACAGAACACCUCUCUUCUUUCAAAGAUUACAGAUUGACAAUGAAGACCCUGGUUCCAAGCUUCUGCAAGGCCAGGGCUGCCCACUACCGACAAAUCUUGCUGUUAACACAAGCAAGUAUAAAGCCCUGAAGGGCUGAAAGUGCUGAGUUUAGAAUACACCUUGCUGCAAACAGUCGUUUCUCCUCUCCUUCUUCAGCUGAGGAUGCAGCCAUCUCUUCCUGCUUGCUAUACCGUCUUCCAUCAGUAGUUUCCAGGAGAGCACAGAGAGCAGGAUGUGCCCAUCACACCUUGCUCUAAACUGACUGGAAGCUGUGGUGAACAUCAAAGAAAAAAGCCAUGCUGUGAACGAACGUACCUCACCUCGCCAAAUGCCUUUUGAAGAGCAAACAGACAAGGAAGACCUCACGCCUGGCUCCAUGGGAGGGACUGCACGUGGCCUGCGUUGCCAUUACCCCUGGAGAGCUGCACAUCCACUCUGCCAGGAUUCACAGCCUGCAGUGCCAUUAGCAGAGGGGUGCUCUGUGGCAGUCCCUGGGGACGGUUCCAUGGCCAACAUAAUCAGGUGAACCUCUGCUCCUGGCCAGUUAUGUGUAUUAAAUGAGUGACACAGAAAAGGUGCAGGAUAGUAGAGAAAUGCCCCAAUUUUACAUUCUUGAUUGCCUUUGUGAAAAGGAGGCUCAGUAAAGCUAUGGCUAUUAGUAAAUAAUCAAGACUAUUACUGAUUAAGGUUUCUUUCCGAUGUGAACUGCGCCUGGUUGAAAUUACAAUGAGUUUGUCCUCUGUGAGAAGGCUUCAGUCACAUCCAUCAUCUCCACCGGACUCAUGGUUCAUAAAAGGCAUCACUUGCUCUCUAAAGGAGGUCGUAGCAGACCAACCAGUGAGGCAUUACUCCUCUGUCCCCUGGUUGGAUACUUUUGCUUCCAAAGCAAAAGCUGUCCUCUGCAAACCUGCCCCAAAAGCUGUGUCUCAACACGGUAAGAAGCAACUCUCUUACUGAGCCUGAAGGACUCAUCACAAACUCAGGUUGCUGUGGGGAUGGCAACACAACCCUGCCCAUCAUUUUGUGCUUCCAAACACAAUCGUUCCCAUUUAGAAAGGAAAGGAGUCUGUUUGACAUGCUGGUGGUCGCACGUAAUGCAGAUCAGUAAGGGUCAUCUGCCCUUAUGAAGCUUAAUGGAUUCCUGCACUUGCUACACAGAGGUCAAUCUUUCUCCUAGUAUAUUUUUCCUGGAUUAUUGUUCAUCUCUGCCUGUUUGUCGCUGGUGUCUUAAGUUACCUCCCAAGUUGUAUCUCUGCAGGCUUGUUUGGCUUGUGUUCUGCAUUGAUUCUGACACAGAACGGCUUCCAGUGUUUUGGAAUCCUUUUGCACUUGUCAAAAUCGGAAACAAAAUACAGGUUUGAGCACUCUGCACUAACCCAUCACCCUGUUUGAGGCUGACAGCAUGUUCAGAGCAAACAAUUUCCCCCGCUGCAUGAAAGAUGGAAUCUUUUUAAACAGUAUUUUAUGUCUGUCACUAAGUUCAGAAGUACUUUUUUGACAAGUGCCUGAAAUACACUUGGUAGAGCUGAUAAAAGCCACGCCAGCACUGAGAAGAAAAAUCAGAUGUAGGGGUAGGGAUUGGAAGAUACCAUCUAGAAAUAUGACCAGGUGCUGUUUGACCCUGGGAUUUCUGCAUAUGGAACUUAUCUAUUCAUGCUCUAACUCUGCAGAGGUAUAUUGGAGGGAGAGGGAAGCUGAUGGUAAUGACAGAUGACCCCUAUAGCUCUUAUUGAUGAGGUUCUUUUAAGGGAGAACAGAUUUUUCCAAGUGUUUUCCCGAGAUAAGCCUUUAAUGACAGUGCUGGGAACUGUCUGGUACGAAGACCACACAAAUCUUUCUUAGAAACUGCUGUUUUUAUGGCUGGUUAUGUACCCUUGCCAAAAGGAUUGCUUAAGAUCCUGGAGUGUGUAAAGCAGAUGUCAGGAUACACGUUGUAUGAUUUAGGGAGGCUGUAUUGCCCGCGUAUUUACUGAUAAUUCUAAGAAACCUUAACAUCUAUAGAAAAUGGGUUGAUUGUUUUGCAAAACUUUUUAUUUUGUACAUUUUGUAGACGCGGGUGAAUUUUUGGUUUGAGCAAAAACAGCUGCAAAACUGGCACCGACACAUACCUACACCUAUGUCACCUAUCUGCUGCAGCACAUGAUGGUGUUAUUUUCUUGUGCAGACCCACAAUCCUGCUGUGUCAGCCUGCCCCAGGCAGCAAGCAGGUGCCUCUGCCAGCACACCUGUACCCUGUGCCUUCUUUACUCUCCCCAGUAUCCAAUUUUUUCCUCACUCCUUUUGGUGAAAAAUUGUUUCUUCUCACCUGGUUUCCCUCCUCAGCUUCUUCUGUAUCUCUGAAUCUACUCUGGAAAGGCUUUUCCAAAGUCUGAGCUGCUUUCUGCAUGAUGUGUCCGAGAUGCAGCCUUCGUUUUCCAUCCACAUAUCAAACGUACAUUUGUUUCUCACAGUUCCAUGCCCCAGGUAGUACGGUACCUUUCCCUCUGACGCACACACAUGGGUUUUCUUCCAGCUGCUAUUAAUCCCAAUGUGCAGACUUUGUCUCCAAGCCUUUCACUUGGAUGUUUUCUGAUGUUUUUACGUAUUUCCUACUCUAAUUUCUUUUCUCUUGUCAGACUUGGAGCCCUUGUCUCACAUACCAACACUCCUCUUUGAAUCUGUCCUUCAUUACUAAGAGAUCGACUGCCACUGCCAAUACCGUGUGAAGCCCCAUUAAAAUUUCAAGUACUUCAUUGUUUCUUUCAUCCCGUUACUUAUUCCAAAGAGAAUAUCCCAGUGAAAAACUGCAGGCACUUUCAAAACGGCUUAGUCAGGACGCCCAUGAAAGUUUCAGUGGUUCUUUUACCAGUGUCCUGGGACUGCCAGUGGAGCUGCUAGUGGGUUUCCCACUGCCAUCCCAGAAUAAAAGCUGACAUGGGAAGGGUCAGGUUUGUUUCCUUACAGUACAGCGUCUCGGCCAGCCUGGGUCUAGGACUGGGAUCUCCACCUGCUGCUGGGACGCAGAUAAUGGAAGCCCGCUGAUUCUUUGCCUGUCUGGAAAGCCAUUCAUUCACACUGCCAAAAUACAGUUUGGGUAUUCAUGUUCUUUUUAAGCUCUUCAAGCAAUUCUAAUAAAGCUCUCUGUUUUCUCUUAGCCGCUUAUUUUCAGUAUUUUAUAUCAGUAUGGUUCAUGUAUGGCACAGCAGA